rnacentral:rRNA from 1 species
CACGGGGCAGACCAACAGGGAUUGCCCUAGUAACGGCGAGUGAAGCGGCAACAGCUCAAAUUUGAAAUCUGGCCCCUUUUCGGGGUCCGAGUUGUAAUUUGCAGAGGGUGCUUUGGCAUAGGCGGCGGUCUAAGUUCCUUGGAACAGGACAUCGCAGAGGGUGAGAAUCCCGUAUGUGGGCGCCUGCCUUUGCCGUGUAAAGCCCCUUCGACGAGUCGAGUUGUUUGGGAAUGCAGCUCUAAAUGGGAGGUAAAUUUCUUCUAAAGCUAAAUACUGGCCAGAGACCGAUAGCGCACAAGUAGAGUGAUCGAAAGAUGAAAAGUACUUUGGAAAGAGAGUCAAAAAGCACGUGAAAUUGUUGAAAGGGAAGCGCUUGCAGCCAGACUUGCCCGUAGUUGCUCACCCAGGCUUUUGCCCGGGGCACUCUUCUGCGGGCAGGCCAGCAUCAGUUUGGGCGGUUGGAUAAAGGCCUCUGUCACGUAUCUCUCUUCGGGGAGACCUUAUAGGGGAGGCGUAAUGCGACCAGCCCGGACUGAGGUCCGCGCAUCUGCUAGGAUGCUGGCGUAAUGGCUGUAAGCGGCCCGUCUUGAAACACGGACCAAGGAGUCUAACAUCUAUGCGAGUGUUUGGGUGUCAAGCCCGGGCGCGCAAUGAAAGUGAACGGAGGUGGGAACCCCUCGGGGUGCACCAUCGACCGAUCCUGAAGUCUUCGGAUGGAUUUGAGUAAGAGCAUAGCUGUUGGGACCCGAAAGAUGGUGAACUAUGCUUGAAUAGGGUGAAGCCAGAGGAAACUCUGGUGGAGGCUCGCAGCGGUUCUGACGUGCAAAUCGAUCGUCAAAUUUGGGCAUAGGGGCGAAAGACUAAUCGAACCCUCCAUUUCCCC